rnacentral:lncRNA from 1 species
CUGAAAACCAGAGCUCGUCCGUGGCUUCACUUGUUUUGGACUAAGGAGCUGAGGAGCGUGCAAGACUGUACUUGGAGAAUCUGUUUCUUGCUGCCAUUUCGUCACUGAACACUAUUUUUUUUCUCCUUCUUUUUUUGUAAGAAAAGGAGAACACAUAAAACCCCACCAGAACAAACUCCACUCGGCCCUGAAAGUAUUUACAAUCACGGCCCUGAAAGUACUGAAAGUAUUUACAAUCACGUUACAGUUCAUUCACUGCUGCAGAACCUCUCUCCAGCGAUCAAGGUCGAAGGGAGCCGACGUCGCCCUCUAUCGGCUCCCUGCUGCACUAGAAGGUAAUUUAAACGAAAAGGCCCUUUGAAGCCAGUGUUCUCUAUUUUCUUCGAAACUCCAGGUUUUGGGGGCUUCUUUUCUGUUUGUUGUUUGUUUGCUCAGUCUAUGUUUUGAUUUGCUGGUGAGGGAAGGCAGAGAGAGGAAGUGGAGCAGGAGCCCAGCGCGUUUCUAUGGCCACCGCGACCACAGGCAGAGGGGGAGCCGUAGCAGGAAAGGCCAGGCCGCGCUCCGCACUGCGGGGGCCACGCCAACCUCCAUCCGACUCCCACAGAAGCGCCCACAAAAGGCACUUUCAUCACGUCCAGUGCCCGCUCCUGGGCCCACGGAAUGCAUUUGUUUUAGAGUCUCUGCAGAAACAAUGUUUCCACAUGCCAGCCACGCUCCGCAGACAGAAAGUUUCUUUGUGUUAGUGCCUGGUGUGAUGUGACCUCCACUGGUACAGCAUAGCCCGCCGCACCCCGGGGCCACAGCACUCUUCCAUCCCGCAGCCGCAUGAACCCCAGAAGGAGCUUCCACUGCAGGCAGGAGGCAAUCAUGCUCACCCUCUUCCACAGCCGGACUCACUCAGGAGGCCCUUCAUCUUCAUGUUCCCCACAUAGCAGAGGGGAGGGCAGAAGAUGAGAGGGAGGAGAGAGCAGAGCCAAGAGCCUCCUUUUCUCCCACUGUGCCCCUCCUAUGUGUGGCUCUGGACACCAGGAACCACCCAAGGACAGUGGGACUCCUCGAAAAGAUAAUUGCUCAUGAGGGAUCCAAGAGCAAGGCUUGUUACAUCCUAUAACCUUCACACAAAAUAUUGACUGAGAAUCCUCCAUGUGCCAAGUACUGUUCAAAAACACUGGGAACCCAGCAGGGAUGAGCCACAAGUUUCCUUGUCUUUACGAAGCUUUCAUUCUGAGGGAGUGGAGAGAGACAAGCAAUAAACAACCAAUCAAAACAAAGAUGACUCCUCUGAGUGUUGUGAUAUGCGGGUCAAGGAGGAUGGCUCCCAGGAUGUGACCUCAGAGCAGAAGCCUGGAGGCUUGCCAGCAGCGGGAAGAGCAGCGGCAGGGCACUGCAGGCAGAGGUGACCAAAAGCGUGAAACCUUGAGCUGGGAAGCACGUGGUCUGCUGGAAAGUGGGCUGAUGUAUUUGAAGAGAGCAAGGAGCAGAAUGGUACAAUGGGGUGAUGGGGGAAGAGCCAGGCAGAGCCCAGUGCUGCAAAGCCCGGUAGCACAUACAUGUGUAACGUACCUUGAAGCAAAUGAAUGGCCUGAUCUGGUUUCUGUUUUGGCUGCUCUGUGGUGAUGUGGUGCCUGGGAGGCAAAGAAGCUGGGAAAGAAGCGGUUUUUCUCUUCUAGGUACUUUAAAGCUCUAUAAUAUAUGCUCAGGUGAAAUUUGGCUGG